AUUCAGUUUUUUUUCUUCAAUAAAUCAGAAUUGAACUAUUGAAGGCUGUGUUAUUCCAAAGCCCUGUGACAUAUUUCAUCUUACUGAAUUCCCCAACCAGUUGGGAAGCUAUCAAGGCUUAGAAAGGCUAAGUGAUUUAUUUGUGAUAACAGAGGCAGGACAUGAACGCAUCUUCCAACUAUUUCCCCACUCUAUCACAUGCCCUGACCUCUGUAAUCUUACCAAGGGCGUUGAAACCAAGCAAAAAUGUGAGGAAGUGUGCAGAUAUGUGAACAGACACAGGUAGUUACAUAGACAAAUAAAUGUCUAGACACACACAACCAUAAUACUGCAUGCAUUUUUGGAUUCAACCAUCUGGUGAAUUCACCUCCUAGAACUCAAGAUCUCCUGAUCAUCUGAUGUACACAUGCACACACGGAUGUGUGCAGUAUGCGUGUAUUUGCUCACUCCUAGCCAGCUUCCUCUUCAUACCCCGCAGAAUGGAUUCUAUUUUUUUUUAUCAUGAGAAUCCUGGAAGAAUGAAUCACCAUGUGUGAAGGAAACUCAGGAGUAUUGGUUUCUUGGAAGUCUGGCAGGCUAAAUUUGGAGGAAAAGUAUUAACAGCAGAUAACCUGAUAAUCAUAACAGCAUUUCCAAUUAAAAUGAGAUGAAUCACUGCCUGAAAGUCUAAAUAACCAGAUGUGCCUAAAAUUCUGUGAUGGCUCCCAUUCUCAUCCUGUGUCUACCCUGAAGCCAAACUCAGCUUUUGCCACAUCCUCAAAAUAAAUCCAACACUACAAUGCA
rnacentral:lncRNA from 1 species